AUUAUGUUAGGUAAUUUCUGCUCUAUGAAUUACGUUUAAAUGGCCGCAGUAAACUGACUGUGCUAAGGUAGCAUAAUAAAUUGGCCUUUAAUUGGGGUCUAGUAUAAACGGAAACAUAUGUAAUUACUGUCUCUAUUGUACUUAAUUUAACUUACUUAAAAGGUGAAAAUUCCUUUAAGUUUUCAAGAAGGACGAGAAGACCCUUAGAAUUAUUAAAGAUUAGCUAUUUCUCAAUAUAACUUUCUUUUUUGUUGGGGCGACAUAUUUUCACUUAACAUAAUAUAUCUAACUAGUAACAUGACUAAUUUAUUUAGUAAGACUUAAUUACCUGAGGGAUAACAGCAUAAUAUAAUUUUAAGUUUGUGACCUCGAUGUUGGACUAGGUAGAAUAACAACCAGCAGUUGUUAUUACUUGUUCUGUUCGAACAUAUA
rnacentral:rRNA from 1 species